GUGCCAGCCGCCGCGGUAAUACGGAGGGGGUUAGCGUUAAUCGGAAUAACUGGGCGUAAAGGGCACGCAGGCGGCUAUUUAAGUGAGGUGUGAAAUCCCCGGGCUUAACCUGGGAAUUGCAUUUCAGACUGGGUAGCUAGAGUACUUUAGGGAGGGGUAGAAUUCCACGUGUAGCGGUGAAAUGCGUAGAGAUGUGGAGGAAUACCGAAGGCGAAGGCAGCCCCUUGGGAAUGUACUGACGCUCAUGUGCGGAAGCGUGGGGAGCAAACAGGAUUAGAUACCCUGGUAGUCCACGCUGUAAACGCUGUCGAUUUGGGGAUUGGGCUUUAAGCUUGGUGCCCGUAGCUAACGUGAUAAAUCGACCGCCUGGGGAGUACGGCCGCAAGGUUAAAACUCAAAUAAAUUGACGG
rnacentral:rRNA from 1 species